rnacentral:pre_miRNA from 1 species
UGGGCAAAAGUCCGCCUGAACAUUUUUCUAAUUGUUCAGGCGCUCUUUUGCAUGAC